AGAUUGAACGCUAGCGGGAUGCUUUACACAUGCAAGUCGAACGGCAGCGCGGACUUCGGUCUGGCGGCGAGUGGCGAACGGGUGAGUAAUAUAUCGGAACGUGCCCAGUAGCGGGGGAUAACUACGCGAAAGCGUGGCUAAUACCGCAUACGCCCUACGGGGGAAAGGGGGGGAUUCUUCGGAACCUCUCACUAUUGGAGCGGCCGAUAUCAGAUUAGCUAGUUGGUGAGGUAAAGGCUCACCAAGGCGACGAUCUGUAGCUGGUUUGAGAGGACGACCAGCCACACUGGGACUGAGACACGGCCCAGACUCCUACGGGAGGCAGCAGUGGGGAAUUUUGGACAAUGGGGGAAACCCUGAUCCAGCCAUCCCGCGUGUGCGAUGAAGGCCUCGGUGUAAG
rnacentral:rRNA from 1 species